UACGGAGGGUGCAAGCGUUAUCCGGAUUCACUGGGUUUAAAGGGUGCGUAGGUGGGAAAGUAAGUCAGUGGUGAAAUCUCCGUGCUUAACACGGAAACUGCCAUUGAUACUAUUUUUCUUGAAUUUUCUGGAGGUCAGCGGAAUAUGUCAUGUAGCGGUGAAAUGCUUAGAUAUGACAUAGAACACCAAUUGCGAAGGCAGCUGACUACAGGGAUAUUGACACUGAGGCACGAAAGCGUGGGGAUCAAACAGG
rnacentral:rRNA from 1 species